AACCUAGCACACCUGCGGUGUGUACCUGCGGAAGGAUCAUUAAAAAGAGUGUGUACCCCUCUGUAAAAUGAGUGGGUUACCUCCCGUCCUUUGUUGACCUCUUAGGAGGUUAUUUUGAACUUUCUGCUUCGGUGGGGUUAAACCUACCGGAACACCCUCAAAUUCUUAUCAUUUAAAAAUCGUUCAGUCCGAUUUUAAUAAAAUAAAACAAAAAACUUUUAACAACGGAUCUCAGAUCGG
rnacentral:misc_RNA from 1 species